AUAACCUACGUUUGAAAUACGAAGGUAUGGCAGCCCUCAUUUUGUGUGCAGCAGCACUGUUGACAAUAACCCCUUCGACACACUGUAGCGCAGCUCUGGCCACUUCUGAUAAUGCUGAAGCGCGUACUUGUCCAUCCUGCCUUCCCUGCCCUGAAGAUCCAUCAAAUACCAUCAAAAAGUUUUGGAGCGACAAUGAAUAUAUGUGGAUAUUUUAUAUGGAUCCUCACACUACGGCAAGCUGCAUCAAGGAGAGACGUGUAGGCAUUAGCGAAUCCAUAGUCGCACUGCAAAAGUCAACGGUGCGAAAUGGGGCCGAAAGCUCACAAUUUCCAGUGAAAAUGUGGACAUUAUCUCAAGCCGGAGAUGAAAUGUGGCACAUAGACCAAAGUUUGAACGCACCAGGACGAGGAGCGCAUUCACCCGAGAGCGCAGUUCCACCUCAUUGCCAGAAGGGCCGGUUUUCGUGACGCACGCUCUGCGGUCAUUCCGCCGAACGAAAUCUGUGAGGUUAUACCACUCAAUGCCGAAGUUGAGAAAACCAGAGUGGUAUUCCUUGCUUGUGGGUGGAGAGAAUCCUACUCAGAGUGUUGGCAAUUGUUUGGACGUAUAUAAAAGUUUUUCUAAAGUACCGGAGCCUCAAGCAAUGUAUUUGGAAAGCUGUGCUAAGAGUUCACAGUAAAAUUGGACAUCCGCAGUUCACUGGUCUCAUUAAUAAUACAAUGUUUGUGCUGCGCAAUAAACAUGAUUAUACUGCGGGAA
rnacentral:misc_RNA from 1 species